AUUGAACGCUGGCGGCAUGCUUUACACAUGCAAGUCGAACGGUAACAGGCCGCAAGGUGCUGACGAGUGGCGAACGGGUGAGUAAUGCAUCGGAACGUGCCCAGACGUGGGUGAUAACUACUCGAAAGAGUAGCUAAUACCGCAUACGACCUAUGGAUGACAGCGGGGGACCGCAAGGCCUCGUGCGAUUGGACCCGCCGAUGUCAGAUUAGGUAGUUGGUGGGGUAAAGGCUCACCAAGCCAACGAUCUGUAGCUGGUCUGAGAGGACGACCAGCCACACUGGAACUGAGACACGGUCCAGACUCCUACGGGAGGCAGCAGUGGGGAAUUUUGGACAAUGGGCGCAAGCCUGAUCCAGCCAUACCGCGUGCAGGAAGAAGGCCUUCGGGUUGUAAACCGCUUUUGUUCGGAACGAAACGCGUCUGGUUAAUACCCGGGGGUAAUGACGGUACCGUAAGAAUAAGCACCGGCUAACUUCGUG
rnacentral:rRNA from 1 species